rnacentral:tRNA from 1 species
GCCCUGACAGCUCAGUCUGUAGAGCAUGAGACUCUUAAUCUCAGGGCCAUGGGUUCGGGCCCCAUCUUGGGUG